CUGAGUGAGGGCCUCCGGGUCCGACCUCCAACCCUUUGUGAACCAAUCUUGUUGCUUCGGGGGCGACCCUGCCGCUUCGGCGGUGCGGCGCCCCCGGAGGCCAUCAAACACUGCAUCAUUGCGUCGGAGUAAAAGUAAAUGAAACA
rnacentral:misc_RNA from 1 species